UCUGGUGAUGAUGGCAAAGAGGUCACACCCGUUCCCUUCCCGAACACGGAAGUUAAGCUCUUUAGCGCCGAUGGUAGUCGGGGGCUUCCCCCUGCAAGAGUAGGACGUUGCCGGGC
rfam:Bhargavaea cecembensis DSE10 contig000025, whole genome shotgun sequence.